rnacentral:rRNA from 1 species
UACGGGGGGCAAGCGUUGUUCGGAAUUACUGGCGUAAAGGGCUCGGUAGGCCGCCAACUAAGUCAGACGUGAAUCCCUCGGCUUAACCGGGGAACUGCGUCUGAUACUGGAUGGCUUGAGGUUGGGAGAGGAUGCGGAAUUCCAGGUGUAGCGGUGAAAUGCGUAGAUAAUCUGGAGGAACACCGGUGGCGAAGGCGGCGAUGCCUGGACCAAUUCUGGACC